rnacentral:rRNA from 1 species
UUUAGCAAGAACCCCUGAGCAAAGUGAAACUUUAGUUCAGCCCCCCGAAACUAGACGAGCUACUUCAAGACAGCCUUGUAUAAUACCCGAAGGGCACACCCGUCUCUGUCGCAAAAGAGUGGGACGAUCUUCAAGUAGAGGUGACAAACCUAUCGAGCCUAGUUAUAGCUGGUUGUUUAAGAAGUGAAUUUAAGUUCAGCCUCCUGCCCCCCUACAUCAACGGCGCCCACGCCCCCACAGAUUGACAGCGGACAAGAGAGUUAGUCAAAGAGGGUACAGCCCCUUUGAAAAAGGACACAACCUCCACGGGAGAUAAAAGAUCAAAUUCCACUAAGGAAACCUAUUCUAGUAGGCCUAAGAGCAGCCACCUAAAAAGAAAGCGUUACAGCUCCUAUAAACCUAACCCCCUAAUACCGAACACAACUCUUCACUCCCCCCUCACUAUUAAGCCCUCCCACCAACCCUGGGAGAGACCCUGCUAAAAUGAGUAAUAAGGGGGUACGCCCCCCUCCACCACACAUGUGCAUGUCGGAACGGACCUACCCCCGACAACUAACGACCCCCAAAAGAGGUUAAUGUCAAACCACAUAAAAACCAAGAAAACCUGACACAUAACAGUCGUUAACCCAACACAGGUGUGUGCCCCGGAAAGACUUAACUAAAAGGAAGGAACUCGGCAAACACAAGCCUCGCCUGUUUACCAAAAACAUCGCCUCUUGCAAAAUAAACGAAUAAGAGGUCCAGCCUGCCCAGUGACUAUACGUUAAACGGCCGCGGUAUCCUGACCGUGCAAAGGUAGCGCAAUAAAUUGUCUCUUAAUUGGAGACUAGUAUGAAUGGCAUCACGAGGGCUUAACUGUCUCCCCUUUAAAGUCAAUGAAAUUGAUCUCCCCGUGCAGAAGCGGGGAUACACUCGUAAGACGAGAAGACCCUAUGGAGCUUAAGACAUAAAGCAACCUAUGUUAAAUACCCCUAAUAAAGGAAUAAAACAAGAUUACCAUUGCUGGAAUGUUUUCGGUUGGGGCGACCACGGGGAAAAACAAAACCCCCACAUGGACCAGGGCCACUCAGCCCUAAUACAUAGACCCACAGGUCAAAUCAACAGUAAUUCUGACCACCUAAGACCCGGCACAAGCCGAUUAAUGGAACUAGUUACCCUAGGGAUAACAGCGCAAUCCUCUCCAAGAGCCCUCAUCGACGAGGGGGUUUACGACCUCGAUGUUGGAUCAGGACAUCCUGAUGGUGCAGCCGCUAUCAAGG